UACGUAGGGGGCGAGCGUUGUCCGGAAUUACUGGGCGUAAAGGGCAAGCAGGCGGGAAGGCAAGUCUUGUGUGAAAGACCUUGGCUCAACUAAGGGACCGCAUGGGAUACUGCCUUUCUUGAGGGGAUGAGAAGUGAGCGGAACUGCCGGUGUAGCGGUGAAAUGCGUAGAUAUCGGUAGGAACACCCGUGGCGAAAGCGGCUCACUAGCAUCUUUCUGACGCUCAAUUGCGAAAGCGUGGGGAGCAAAC
rnacentral:rRNA from 1 species